GAUGAACGCUAGCGGCAGGCCUAACACAUGCAAGUCGAGGGAGAAGCCCUUUCGGGGGCAGAAACCGGCGCACGGGUGCGUAACGCGUAUGCAACCUACCUUUCACAGGGGGAUAGCCCGAAGAAAUUUGGAUUAAUACCCCAUAAUAUUAUUGGAUGGCAUCAUUUGAUAAUUAAAACUGCGGUGGUGAAAGAUGGGCAUGCGUCCUAUUAGCUAGUUGGAGUGGUAACGGCACCCCAAGGCUACGAUAGGUAGGGGUCCUGAGAGGGAGAUCCCCCACAAUGGUACUGAGACAGGGACCAGACGCCUACGGGAGGCAGCAGUGAGGAAUAUUGGUAAAUGGUCGGAAGACUGAACCAGCCAUGCCGCGUGCAGGAAGAAUGCCUUAUGGGUUGUAAACUGCUUUUAUAUGGGAAGAAUAAGGUGUACGUGUACAUUGAUGACGGUACCAUAUGAAUAAGCAUCGGCUAACUCCGUG
rnacentral:rRNA from 1 species